rnacentral:rRNA from 1 species
AUUGAACGCUGGCGGCAGGCCUAACACAUGCAAGUCGAGCGGAUGAAGGGAGCUUGCUCCUGGAUUCAGUGGCGGACGGGUGAGUAAUGCCUAGGAAUCUGCCUGGUAGUGGGGGAUAACGUCCGGAAACGGGCGCUAAUACCGCAUACGUCCUGAGGGAGAAAGUGGGGGAUCUUCGGACCUCACGCUAUCAGAUGAGCCUAGGUCGGAUUAGCUAGUUGGUGGGGUAAAGGCCUACCAAGGCGACGAUCCGUAACUGGUCUGAGAGGAUGAUCAGUCACACUGGAACUGAGACACGGUCCAGACUCCUACGGGAGGCAGCAGUGGGGAAUAUUGGACAAUGGGCGAAAGCCUGAUCCAGCCAUGCCGCGUGUGUGAAGAAGGUCUUCGGAUUGUAAAGCACUUUAAGUUGGGAGGAAGGGCAGUAAGUUAAUACCUUGCUGUUUUGACGUUACCAACAGAAUAAGCACCGGCUAACUUCGU